GAGUUUGAUCAUGGCUCAGGAUUAACGCUGGCGGCGUGCAUGAGACAUGCAAGUCGAACGGACACAUGGGGCUUGCUCCGUGUGUUAGUGGCGGACGGCUGAGUAACGCGUAGGUGACCUGCCCCGAAGUGGGGGAUAACUGCCCGAAAGGGUGGCUAAUACCGCAUGCGGAGGUUUGUUCAAUCGAACCUUCAAAGCAGCAAUGCGCUUCGGAGGGGCCUGCGUCCGAUUAGCUCGUUGGUGGGUAACGGCUCACCAAGGCGACGAUCGGUAGGUGGUCUGAGAGGACGAUCACCCAGACUGGGACUGAGACACGGCCCAGACUCCUACGGGAGGCAGCAGUCGGGAAUUUGCGCAAUGGGCGAAAGCCUGACGCAGCAACGCCGCGUGAGGGAUGACGGCC
rnacentral:rRNA from 1 species